CUGGGUGCACUUCUGUGCUCUCAAGCUCCUGGAGGUGAGAUUGAACAUCAUGAAUCUCUCUUCAACAGAAUCAAGCAGCUGAUUUCCAGAGGAAGAUUGGUUCUUCACAUCCUGUCUACAGCUUUUCUCUUGCCUUCAGCCUUGGUGGGGAGAGAGAAAUGUGUGCACUAAAGGCCUCCUGAUAUUUGGAUGAAUGGAAAUUGAUGGAAUGGACAAGACUCUCACCAGCCUUGUUCUCCUGAUGUUGGAAGAGAGCACAGUGGAUUCAACAUGUGUGAUGCUGAGACCUGCUGGCCGUGGGGCCUGCAUCCAGGGAGCCCAUGAUAAAUGAGUGGCUUCAUCUCUGAGAGUCACUGAAAGUGGGCUGGAUGCAUGUUCUCAUUUUAUUUCUACCAGAAAUCAGGGAGGAAGAUCCAGAAGGAAAGUAUGUGUGCUGAUUAUCUCCCCUUUACAACUGGGAAAACUGACCAGGGCCCUGUGAAUGGGCGUGGAUAUGGUUACAGAGCUGGGAGGCCAGGCAUACUUUUACCAGCCUUUGAAAUGUGCUCUGGGAAGCUCUGCUGUUCAUCCCAUCGCUUAUGCUGUCAGGGCCACGCUGCGUCAGUGGAGGGGCUGAGGACUGUGCAAUGGGUGACUUUGACCCGUCAGCGAACAUUUGGGAAAUUCCGUGCUGGGCGUGUUGGAGCUUUCACAAUAGGGGUUGGGGUUCUUCCCAGAGAUGCCUCAGGAGGUGGAGACAGCUGAAUGGGGGCUGUGUGUGCUCGCGUCCUCUACUGAUUUAUGAGUCCCCGCUUGCAGUAUUUCGCAUGAUCCCAGUGCAGCGUGGGAAGGAAAUCAAAGUAUGGGUUAGUGACGAAGGCAAAGCAGGCCUUGCCUGAGGCUGGCUGGGGAUCUGAGAAGCCGCCCCAGUGCCAAAGAAUGCAGAGACCAGCUGUGCCCGAGGCCCCCGUGGGAGCACAAGGCGCCGAGUGCCUGGGAGCUGCCCCCAUUGGCAGAGCUGGCCUUCAAAGCAAGUUUUCUUCCAUUCCUGCUGUCUGAUUCUGGGUGCAUCCCAUUCCCCCAGCAGGUGUGGUCCUGAAGGAGUGUUGGACCCAGGCCAAACAAGUGCUUGGAACAAGGUGGGGAAGGAAACAGCAGAGGCGAAUUUAAAUAAAAAAGAUGUUCUGUUACAUCAAUUUUCAUUCAAAACUGUUUCGAAGAAGGUUAGCUCUUUGGAGACAAAAACACAACUUAGUCUACAGGAAAAUGAACUAAAGGUGGGCUCAUGUAUGCUAGGGGUCGGACACGACUGAGCAACUUCACUUUCACUUUUCACUUUCAUGGAUUGGAGAAGGAAAUGGCAACCCACUCCAGUGUUCUUGCCUGGAGAAUCCCAGGGAUGGGGGAGCCUGGUGGGCUGCUGUCUAUGGGGUCGCACAGAGUUGGACAUGACUGAAGUGACUCAGCAGCAGCAGCGUGUAUGAUACAGAGAAAUAAACACUUUACCUUCUAAGGACUCAAAAUCACUCCACAGAUGAGCCUUGAGAAGCUCUGCAUUCAUCUUAGGGUCCCGGCAGACCCCUAAGUCUUUUUCUGCAGUCUGUGCACUCUUGACUAUUCCAAGUCCAUCACAGAAGAUGCUGGCCCCUGGACCCAGAGGAAAGGCCUGGGGCAUGUCCACUGCACAGCUUCUGGAUCCCCAGAACUCGAAGAAGAGAUUUAGGACAUACACACACAUGGAAGUCCAAGUGAGGACACAGGGAGAAGAUGGCCAUCUCUAAGAUAGGAGAGAGCCCUCUGGAGAAACAACACUGUCCACACCCUUAUCUUGAACUUUCAGCCUCCAGAAAUUAUAAUCCCCUAGUUGAUGUUUCCAUGAGACCGUAUUGCAACACCAGUGAAAAUGCACAACAUCUACUGUACUUUGCUUUCCUGAUAAUAGGAAUCUGUGUUUUAUAUUCUGAGAGAGAAAAACAUCGGUUGUUUAAGACCCCAGAGUGCUUUGUUAUGUAAUGAAAGAAGACUAAUACACUAUCCGAACUAAUACAUGGUUGUGUAAAUGCCUUCCCUUGAGCCAGCUCUGCCUUUCCUGGGAAGCAGGAAACUGGAUUUCAGGACACCCAGAUCUCACCCAGGCUGUCUGAUGAGUCCCCUUUUAUUAUUCUGUUCUAUAUUAUUAUGCUUUGACAGAUUUAUUAAUUGUUUUUAUUAUUAUUAUUUUUUUAACAAAUACUCAGAACCUUUGAACAGCUGCACAGCAAGAUUGACUUUGUCACCCAAAGUUGAUAGAAUUUCAAAAGGAAGAAUCGAUAUCUUGGUCAGCAAUGUUGAUGGUAAAAGUCUGAUUCCUUCUGAGCCUUUUGAAGUAUUAAAAAUAGCAUGUGGAUGCUUUUAACUGCUUACAUGGUACCUUUGCUGUUCAAAGGUCAUGGCCAGGAAAGGCAAAAUCAGAGAAAAAUCCAGAGCAGACCAGUUCACCAAUUGUUGUAAUGGGGCUAAUCCCCAAGGAAGUAAGAGAGGAAAAUAGGCCAGGAGAGGAUUGAAAACUUUAUUGGGGUCCUGGGCAGGGCAGCCAUGGCUAUGGGAAGUGUUUGUUUGCUACUUUGAACUUCACUGGGAAUGGUAGGGGGAGGCUGGUGCUGCUGAGGUUCACACAGGCGGGUGGCUGGAGGAUGGGGAGUCCUGAGACCACAAGGGAACAGUUGUGUUAUAACUGACCACAUGUGUCUCAGUGGCUCUCAAACAGGAUGAAUUCCUCUUACCACCUUAGUGAGAAGACAUUGGCUGUAGAUUGGAGUUAUCGCCAGGGCAUCAGACAAUCAGUGUUAAUACAGGGUUAGGAGAAGUGGAUCUCCCUGAUUUUACAGGGCAAUAGAUAGGAGUAAAGACCUGAUACCUCUGAGUUUAAAGAUUUUGCUGAAAAACCUUAGGAUUAAAAAAAAUAUUUAUUUUUGCUUGCACUGGGUCUUUGUUGCUAUGUUCAGGCUUUCUCUAGUUGUGGUGAGUGGGGGCUACUGUUCUUUGAGGUGCACAGGCUCCUCAAUGUGGUGGCUUGAGGAGGCUUCUCUUGUUUCAGAGCGCAGCCUCUAGGGGUGCACUGGCUUCAAUAGUUUCAGCAUGUGGAUUCAGUUGCAGCUCUUAGACGUUAGAGUGUGGGCUCAGUAGUUAUGGCACAUGGGCUUGAUUGCCUAUGGCAUGUGGAAUCUUCCCAUACCAAGGACUGAACCCAUGUCCCCUGCAUUGGCAGGCAGAUUCUUAUCCUCUGUACCACCAGGAAAGUCCAAAACCUUAGUUUUGUUGAGAAAUUUUUCAUCUUCUGUAAGUUGUUGGUGUUGUAUCUGCCCUUGCUAGAAUUGUUGCCAUUUAUGCAAGAGUGUCUCUGAGUGGCAUGGACCCUGCCAUCCUUCUCCAGCAGUUAAUCAAGAGCUGAAGGACUAUCAGUGACCACUUAGACCAGAGGUUCUUGGGUUUCCUGCAUUAGAGACAAGUUCUGGAUAUUUUUUGAACAUGUUCCGUGAGGGCAUCAGACAGUUGUUUAGCUGAGAUCAUAUGAUUUCGUUUGCCUGUGCCCAGGGCAAUUGCCUUCACCAUUUACAGCCAAAACUAUUAAUAGACAUAUGGAGAUCAGAUGCCUGACCCUCUGAUUUUUUGAAGAAAGUAUAGAUGUUGCAAUAGGGUAAACCAUCAACGACAUUCCCAAUGCCAUGGAACAUGAAACACAGGCUCCUGUUAUUCAUAAAGGAAAGCACAACAGAUGCUGUGCAUUUUCUUGGUGUUGCAAUCUGGUCUCACGGAAACAUCAACUAGGGGAUCAUAAUUUCCAGGUUUUACCCACGUAGAGGUAAGUGUGGAGCCUGGGAGAACAGAAGCAUUUGGCCAGACUGUGUGGAAAUCUGGACAAACAUAAAAGGUGCCUGGACAUUGGAUUUGCUUUAUUGGAGGCUCUUGAGUUUUCCCAAAUGUUCACAUCUCCAGGAAAGCCAUGUGGUCCCAGGACUUGAGACCAUCUGGCCAAACACGGAAGAUCAUCGAUGUUCUAGGCACAGGUACAUAUUACUGUGUGGCAGACCCAAUGAUCAGAUCAGGUUGAUAUGUGUACUGCCAUGUCUGCAUUUGGGGUUGACAUCCUGGAGGCUCUGGGUAGAUGCCAAGGGGAGUUGUGGUUGGCAGGGAGGUGGGUGAUGUGGUGUUUGGGGAAGUGGCUGUGGAGGACAGGGAGCCUGAGGAGGUGUGGUGCAUAACAGGGUUGACGGUGGGAGGCUUCCGGGUCAGUAUCAUAAGGAAGCGAAAGUCAUGAGGCAUUUCUAACAGCCCCAUAAAAAGAGAAGAAUGGGAGCAGUUGGGGUUGGAAAGCAGGCAAGGAGGAAUUAUGUGAGGAAUGUUGGUGGUAUUUAACAGGCACAACUUUGUGUCCUAUAGGGGCUUGAUAUACUCCAGGAUGGCCUUAUUGUCAUGGGUUUAUGACUCACAGUUCUGUGGAGCCCGUGGAGGCCAUGCAGGGGUCACUGUCAAGCAUUUUGUAAUCUUGGGGAAAAAGUAAUAGAACGCAGGAGAUCUUACAGAUCAAGACAAUGACCUAGGAAUUGGGGAACCAGUGUAGAGUUGUUGGAAAGCAGCAUGGACCCAUGUGGGCAAGAGGUUGAAGGUGGGUAAGGCUGUAACAUUCAGUUCUAAAGUGGGGGGUGGUGUUGUCCUUUUCAGUGGCAUGGAAGCUGGAGUCCACCCUCAGAGUGAGGGUCCCUCCCAGGUGGCUAUCCACUGAUGGAAACCUGUGGUCCCAUGUGGAAGUGUGACCUAGUGAAGCUUGGAGACCUCUACUAGAAUCUUGCCAUAAACAUGUGAACUGUUGCAAAUGCAAAUUUUCAGUAACUCUUAGGGAUCAUUUGAGCAUCUUGGGCCAAGUCCUGGGCAGCUUCUCUUAGUGUCUGAACUUGAUAUUUCAUCCACAGGGAAUAAAUCUUCUGGUCCAUAGACAGCUGACUUAGUGGGUCUGGAUAUAGUUGUGACACAGUCCAUAGACAUAUAAACAUUACAGCCAGUAUAAUAGAGACUGAGUGGUUAGUGGAGGAUGGAUUCAGGAUUGUUGUUCAAGCUGGCCAAAGACUCUCUGACCAGUUAAAAUUGGUAUUCUGGAUCAAUAUUCUGCCUGGUAGGUCUCAAACAUCUGUGCCAUUGGUGCCAUUUAUAAUACAUUCCAAGCCUCCCAGGCUUGAUGGUGUGUGGGCCUGAGAAAUGGUCCUUUGCAGUCUGGCAUCCCCAGCUGGCCCAUUCUUGAGUGCAAUUUUGAGUAUUUUUGGCCAUUUGGUUGCUACAGGAUUUGGCCAUAGAGAGCUCUUUUGGGUCUGCCAGCAGUCCUAGGAUCCCAGCCAGAUGUAAUAAGUCCAAUAACCACAAGCCAAUUGAGCAUUGGCAGCAAUUAACUUGGGGUCCCAAAAAUUUGUUGUCUAAGGAAGUUGUUUGGCAACCAGGUGGGGAAUUUUGAGGCCACAGGCAUCUCUCCCAGUCUUUUGUGGAAGUUCAUUGGCAUCUGAGAGGGUGAUCAAAUGUGGUCAGUGUUUCUAAUCAGUGAUCAGUUCCUGGGCAGCCAGUGGCAAAGCUUGUUAUGUAGUCUGCUGUGUUAGUUCCAAAGCCUGUGGUGCCUUGGUGGGAAGAGGCAGCCUUCCUAGUAAUCUGAUCAGUGAAUUAAAGCAAGAUAGACAGGUGUGGAAUAUAUUGUCUCCAAAACAUGGACUGAGUAAGUGCGGGGCCUGUCUGGGUGUUUUUGGUGGGCGUCAGUGGAGGAGAUGGUGUUUCAAUGAGUUUGGAUGAAGCCACGUAAGAUAGGGCAAAGUGGGACAAAAGAGGGCCAGCAGGGUGGACGGCUUUCCCAGAUGGUACAGUUCAGCCAGUAUGGUCCAUCAGUAAGCCACAUGAAAGCAGUGAGCAUCUCCGGGGGAAUAAGGGAUCAUCUGCCCAUGUUUAGAGUGAUCUUGUCCUUGUCACCAGUUAUGUAAAUGAGGCAGAUCACCUCAGUUGAAGUCCUUUGGGGCUCCCUUCUACACAGCCAUGAAAGUCACACUUGGAGAGGCAUAGAAAUUAAGGAUGUAUUACACUCACAGGUCCCAGAGAAGGAGGACUGGCAACCCAUUGCCAGGUUGAGCUCUGCUGGCAGGAAAAUGGGCUAGGAGAGAAUGGUGGGUGAUCUUGGAAGGGGCAAUCAUGGCACGAGGAAGGGAUUAUUGGCUACUUUGAACUUAAGCACAUUGGAAGAAGAGCAGGGAGGGGGCUGGAAAUCUUCUCAAGAGUUACCCUCCGGGCACAGUCAAGAGGAGGCUGGUGCUGGUGAGGCUCACACGGUGCGUGGGCUGGUGGAUGGUGAGUCCCGAGGCCACAGGGAACAGUGUGUUACCCCCAUCCCUGUCUUCACCACUGAAGUCACUCUUGAGAACUCAUCACUGAGGAAAAAUUGUUCAAUGAAAAAUUUUUCUUCAAUAUUUUCCCAUUUUCUUAUUUCCUGUAUCUUUGUAUCUAUCAUGUUACCUUGAAGGUAUUUUUUUCAGCUUUCCUCUUUGUUUCAGAAAUAAGGCAGACUAUGAAGGAUA